rnacentral:rRNA from 1 species
CGAAAGGACCAUGGUUAUAUAAUAAUUAUUUAUUUUUGAAUAAUAAUAA